UGUAAAACAAGGGCGGUUGUGAGA
rnacentral:piRNA from 1 species